AAGUUCACUAAGUCCAGCAGCCCAGGGCAACCUCUGGUGGAAGACAGAAGGCAGGUCCAGGAAGGUGGGAGGAGCCAGAGAAGGGGAGCCAAUCAGUGGCCAGAAAGGGGGGGGGCGGAACCAGAGAAAGGGAGCCAAUCAGUGGCCAGGAAGGUGGGAGGAGGCGCCACUCAGUGGCCUGAAAGGAGGAAGAGGAGCCAGAGAGGGAGAACCAAUCAGGAAAAGAGGAUGCAGCAGGCUGGGAUUCUUCUUGCAAGGGAAACUGAAGCUUUAGUCUGGGCAGGCAGCGAGCUGGACUGGUAUCGGAGGAAAAGAAGUCUCUACUUUGGCCGCUGCUGUUUGAGUGUGUCUCCCAGCACCAUAAGGCACAGCCAGAUGGGCUGCCGUUGGUUGCAAGCCUGGAAGAGUCAGAAAGAAACCUGAGGCUGUCAAGGAAGCUUGAAGGUGGGUCUUCAACUCUGGGCCCAGAAGGAGCAUCACCUCCACCUGGCCUUGUCUGGUUCAUCUACAGCCUGCAGGAAGAGAGGGGGAGGGGGGGAGAGGGGGAAAGGGAGAGAGGAAGAGAGGGGAGAGGAAGACAGGGGAGAGGAAGAGAGAGAGAGGGAGAGGGACAGAGGGAGAGAGGGAGAGGAAGAGAGGAGGGAGGGAGGGAGAGAGAGAGAGAGAGAGAGAGAGAGA
rnacentral:lncRNA from 1 species